rnacentral:rRNA from 1 species
AGAGGGGGACAACAGUUGGAAACGACUGCUAAUACCGCAUAAGCCCACGACCCGGCAUCGGGUAGAGGGAAAAGGAGCAAUCCGCUUUGAGAUGGCCUCGCGUCCGAUUAGCUAGUUGGUGAGGUAACGGCCCACCAAGGCGACGAUCGGUAGCCGGACUGAGAGGUUGAACGGCCACAUUGGGACUGAGACACGGCCCAGACUCCUACGGGAGGCAGCAGUGGGGAAUAUUGCACAAUGG